rnacentral:lncRNA from 1 species
GGGAAAUGUCCUUGGUGACUGAAGCACUCAGGCCCUGUCCUGCUGUGGUGUCAUAUGGGCAUAAUGCUUCAGAGAGGGACCUACUAGAGUUGCUGUGUUUGGCUGCUUAACAAAUUUGAAAGCAAAUGUCCAAUUUUCUUUGAGAAUAUGUGUUUUGCCUGCUGUUUCAAAUAUAUUUUCCAAGGUUUAUUUCUUUCCUUCUAUACUGUGUGGACAAGGAUGUUUUUAGAUUAACAAUUUUUUGCCCCCUAGGAUCAAAUAUAGAAUAAUUCCUCAAGGAAACGCAUGAAUGGAAUGAGAUAGUUAAGAGUCCCACAGUUUCCUCUGGUUAGCCUGAGGCAUAGGAGGAGAAUUUUCUGUCUAGUUCCAAAUAGUAAGAUAGAAACGCCUUGAAGUCUUUCCCCUACUGUAAAUUGAUAUUCUGUCUUGAAGGAGCCAUUUUAAUUAAUUUCCUCAGUCAAACAUUCUGUGCAAAUGUUGAGACAUACAGCAUGUUAACUUUAUGGUACCUAUCAAAUAGUUUUAUUUUAUUUAUAAAGUCAGAAAUGCUCUAUUUAGGCUUCCUGGAAAUAGAGACAAUCAUUUUAAUUACUAAAGGUGCUACUUAUUUUCCAACACUGACCUUGAUCAAGAGUGCUCCUGUCUGCUGAGUUUUAUGUGUUCUAUUUUUAGGAGUGGGGAGCAGUGCAAUAAAAUUCAUUUAUCUCUUUUUUUUGAAUUAUGCAACUUGAGAAAAAUCUAUAACUAUUUGUACUCUAUUGUUACUGUAUUUUAAUGAUUACCACUCAUGAAUUUAAUUGCAGCUCUGUGCUGUUUGUUAAAAAGUACAUGUGUAUAUAUUUCUAUAGUAUGUAAGAAAAACUUGUAUUGCUUUUAUUAAAGUAAAAUUUAUGUUCAUGUUGAGUUUUAAAAUGAAAUCUGUAACUUUGUCCUUAACCAUCAAAUGCUGUGCUAUUCUAGUAUCAAAACAUGAUGUCCAACUCCAGCCCAUGUGUAAGGGCACUUCUUUGCCUGGAUGUAUAUAACUGAUUAAUAUCAAUGGGAAGAUUAAUGUCAACAUGAAAAAUAUAUUCAAUGACUUCUAAUG